ensembl:snRNA Gm22129 predicted gene, 22129
GUGCUCGCUUCGGCAGCACAUACACUAAAAUUGGAAGGAUACAGAGAAGAUUAGCAUGGCCCCUGCACAAGGAUGACACACAAAUUUGUAAAGCGUUCCAUAUUUUU